rnacentral:rRNA from 1 species
UACGUAGGGUGCAAGCGUUGUCCGGAAUUAUUGGGCGUAAAGAGCUCGUAGGCGGUUCGUCGCGUCGGCUGUGAAAUCCCUCGGCUCAACUGAGGAAGUGCAUCCGAAACUGGCAAGCUUGAGUACGAAAGAGGGUCGCGGAAUUCCCGGUGUAGAGGUGAAAUUCGUAGAUAUCGGGAGGAACACCGGUGGCGAAGGCGGCGACCUGGGUCGAUACUGACGCUGAGGUGCGAAAGCGUGGGGAGCAAACAGG